rnacentral:rRNA from 1 species
GAUUAACGCUGGCGGCGUGCAUAACACAUGCAAGUCGAACGAUGAAACUUUGUAGACUUCUUCGGAAAGACACUAAGCGGAUUAGUUGCGAACGGGUGAGUAACGCGUGAGUAACCUGACUUCCUCAAGGGGAUAGCCUUUGGAAACGAAGAAUAAUACCCUAUCAUACCAUAAAAGCACAUGCUAGAAUGGUCAAAGUGAUAGCGGUGUAAGAUGGACUUGCUUCUGAUUAGCUAGUUGGUGAGAUAAAAGCUCACUAAGGCAACGAGCAGUAGCCGGCUGGAGAGAGUGUACGGCCAGACUGGGACUGAGACACGGCCCAGACGCCUACGGGAGGCGGCAGUGAGGAAUUAUGCACAAUGGGGGAAACCCUGAUGCAGCGACGCCGCGUGAUUGAGAAGGCCUUCGGGUUGUAAAAAUCUUUUGUAUAGAAAGAAAAUGACAGUACUAUACGAAUAAGGACCGGCUAAUUACGUG